GUGCCAGCAGCCGCGGUAAUACGAAGGGUGCAAGCGUUACUCGGAAUUACUGGGCGUAAAGCGUGCGUAGGUGGUUCGUUAAGUCUGAUGUGAAAGCCCCGGGCUCAACCUGGGAACUGCAUUGGAUACUGGCGAUCUGGAGUGCGGUAGAGGGUGGCGGAAUUCCCGGUGUAGCAGUGAAAUGCGUAGAUAUCGGGAGGAACAUCCGUGGCGAAGGCGGCCACCUGGACCAGCACUGACACUGAGGCACGAAAGCGUGGGGAGCAAACAGGAUUAGAUACCCUGGUAGUCC
rnacentral:rRNA from 1 species